rnacentral:misc_RNA from 1 species
GUGAGUCAUCGAAUCUUUGAACGCACAUUGCGCCCCUUGGUAUUCCAUGGGGCAUGCCUGUUCGAGCGUCAUCUACACCCUCAAGCUCUGCUUGGUGUUGGGCGUCUGUCCCGCCUCUGCGCGCGGACUCGCCCCAAAUUCAUUGGCAGCGGUCCUUGCCUCCUCUCGCGCAGCACAUUGCGCUUCUCGAGGUGCGCGGCCCGCGUCCACGAAGCAACAUUACCGUCUUUGACCUCGGAUCAGGUAGGGAUACCCGCUGAACUUAAGCAUAUCAAUAAGCGGAGGA